AGGCUGUGGUGAGCCAUUAUGGUGUCCCUGCACUCUAGCCUGGGCAAUACAGCGAGACCGUGUCUCAAAAAGAGGUGGGGAGCAGAAUUUGGAGACAGACAUGCACACAGGGAGAAUACCACAUAGAGGUGAAGGCGGAGAUCAGGGUGAUGCUUCUGCAAGCCAAGGAACAUCAUUGAUUGCCAGCAAAUUACCAGAAGCCAGGAGAGAGGCACGGAACAGAUUCUUCCUCACAGCUCUCAGAAGGAACCAACCCUGCCCACACCUUGAUCUCAGACUUUCCACCUGCAC
rnacentral:lncRNA from 1 species